rnacentral:rRNA from 1 species
UACGUAGGGGGCUAGCGUUGUCCGGAAUCAUUGGGCGUAAAGCGCGUGUAGGCGGUCCGGUAAGUCCGCUGUGAAAGUCGGGGGCUCAACCCUCGAAUGCCGGUGGAUACUGUCGGGCUAGAGUGCGGAAGAGGCGAGUGGAAUUCCUGGUGUAGCGGUGAAAUGCGUAGAUAUCGGGAGGAACACCAGUGGCGAAGGCGACUACCUGGCCUGUUUCUUGACGCUGAGGCGCGAAAGCUAGGGGAGCAAACGGG